CCAUGUGAUGUGUGGGUUCAG
rnacentral:miRNA from 1 species